rnacentral:rRNA from 1 species
AUUGAACGCUGGCGGCAGGCCUAACACAUGCAAGUCGAGCGGAGCGGCGGACGGGUGAGUAAUGUCUCGGAAUCUGCCUGGUAGUGGGGGAUAACUUCCGGAAACGGUCGCUAAUACCGCAUACUAUCAGAUGAGCCUAUGUCGGAUUAGCUAGUUGGUGGGGUAAAGGCCUACCAAGGCGACGAUCCGUAACUGGUCUGAGAGGAUGAUCAGCCACACUGGGACUGAGACACGGUCCAGACUCCUACGGGAGGCAGCAGUGGGGGAUAUUGCACAAUGGGCGAAAGCCUGAUCCAGCCAGGCCGCGUGUGUGAAGAAGGCCUUCGGAUUGUAAAGCACUUUAAGUUGGGAGGCGUUACCAGCAGAAUAAGCACCGGCUAACUUCGUGCCAGCAGCCGCGGUAAUUC